rnacentral:rRNA from 1 species
CUUCCGUAGGUGAACCUGCGGAAGGAUCAUUACCGAGUGCGGGUCCUUUGGGCCCAACCUCCCAUCCGUGUCUAUUAUACCCUGUUGCUUCGGCGGGCCCGCCGCUUGUCGGCCGCCGGGGGGGCGCCUUUGCCCCCCGGGCCCGUGCCCGCCGGAGACCCCAACACGAACACUGUCUGAAAGCGUGCAGUCUGAGUUGAUUGAAUGCAAUCAGUUAAAACUUUCAACAAUGGAUCUCUUGGUUCCGGCAUCGAUGAAGAACGCAGCGAAAUGCGAUAACUAAUGUGAAUUGCAGAAUUCAGUGAAUCAUCGAGUCUUUGAACGCACAUUGCGCCCCCUGGUAUUCCGGGGGGCAUGCCUGUCCGAGCGUCAUUGCUGCCCUCAAGCCCGGCUUGUGUGUUGGGUCGCCGUCCCCCUCUCCGGGGGGACGGGCCCGAAAGGCAGCGGCGGCACCGCGUCCGAUCCUCGAGCGUAUGGGGCUUUGUCACAUGCUCUGUAGGAUUGGCCGGCGCCUGCCGACGUUUUCCAACCAUUUUUUCCAGGUUGACCUCGGAUCAGGUAGGGAUACCCGCUGAACUUAAGCAUAUCAAUAAGCGGAGGAAUUUU